CUGACCUAUGAGUUGACAGCCA
rnacentral:miRNA from 1 species